GGAACACAUCACGCGGAGUCUCUUGCUGAUUUUACCCCAUGGAGACUGGUUGUGGAUGACGAACGAUAAAAUGGAAGCAUCCAGCAGUGGAGAGAUCAACUGUGUUUGGAAGAGAUCAGAUAGUGUUUAUGAGCACACUGCAUGCCAUAAUUCUGAAGAAUCCAGAGGUAAAAGGUAUUUUACAAGAAACAAAUAUAGUUCUUGUAAUGGAAGCAUUUAGAUGUCACUAUGAAGAGGAGUGAUGGAAAUUCAUAGCAAAUAUAAGGUAGGAAUAGAAAUGCUCAAAAAAUCUAUUAGGUGCUUUUUUUUUCCUGACACUUUGGAUAUCUCCUCUUUAAUAAUGUUCUUAAUUACCAUUGUCUUUAUAUUGUACAAGGUAGACAAGUUGAUUCUAACUUGGUUCUGGCUUCCUUCUUCUGCAAAGAGAGAGAGAAAUAGCUGAAGGUGAAGCCUUGUAGGUUUGUUGCUCCUACGUUCAUUUGGGUCACACGGUGGCUUCUCUCUUGAUUAUGUGGAGGGCUUGGAUUCUUCUAGCCCAAAUAAAACUUGGCCACAUACCUUUGCUCAACAUGCACUGACCUGGGGGAACAAUAUGUUGUAACACAAGUUGCAAUUAGUCAUUAUUUUUUCAGUUCCUGUGUGAGAAACUAUGAUUUUAACAACCAAAACAACAACAGCAGCACCAAAACAAGAUAAAUGUGUGUAGCAAAUUUCCUUAAAUGAGCAUUGCCAGUAUAUUUUUCUCUUGCUAAAUAACCUCCUCCUGGAUCUCAACAUAUUAUUCCCCGCCCUCCCUCAUUUAAUUCAGAAAUAAGGGACAACCCUUCCGCAGCAGCUGUCCAGAGACCACCACAGCCUGUGAGAGUCUCCAGUGGACAACGGUUGUCUGAUUGAGACUCUUCCUGGUGUGCUCAGAAAAACCUGUACUUUUUUUGUUUCAAUUAGUUUUAUAGACAUUUCAAGCUGGGGCCUGCAUUUUUUUGUGCAACCCUGGGGUUCAACAAUUUGAAACUGCUUCACACCAAGAGCAGAGAAACUCGCUCUGUGGUUAUCACCUCAGAGAGACACAAUACCCAAAACCUGAGAACAUUCGCCUUGUUUUGUUGGAGUCAACACAUCUGCCAGGUUAUCUGUCUUCAGUCAACAUGGCUCAUAGAAAUCCAUGCUGAAUUAUUUUUUAGGAAGUUCGGUUUUGUUGACGAUGGAGUUAAAUGUUAUUCGUGUUAAAGUGAGUCUUUAAGAAGAUGGCCGGCUGUGUUUCUACAUAGUUUUGACAUCUGUCUUCAUUUCUCAUUUUUCCUCUAAGAUGUUCUGCACAUAUUUGUCAAUUUCUGUGGUCUGACUCAGAGCACAGGAAGUGUGGGUACUUCUGCUGGUGUCAAUCAUUGGGACUGGAUUAUGUCUAAGCAUCUUCAACCUCACAGGGAGGAGCUUGACCGGAGAAAGAGGCUGAGAACUGCUUCUCUUACCAAGGACCUUCCCCAAGCCAGGCAUCUCCGGAGAUGGUAUGGAGCCUGGGGUAGCUCGGCCAGGCCUUUGAUCACCAGCGAUGCCAUUGCUCUUCCCCGUUUCGCGUCUGCUGUGGCUUGCUGCUGAGGCUGCUUUCAGACCUCUGGAAUCAGAAAAGGAGGUGACUAUAUCAGGUUCAGCAGAGGACACAUCUGGAACCCCUUUCCUGCUGGAGUGGACAGUGGAGGCAGCGCCACAGUGGAUUUUCAUUGGUGUCUCCCCUGGCUGCCUGGUGGCUGCCUGUCAGAGCCAGCGCUUGAGAACGUGGCUGCUAGUGAAAGUGUUUAUGUGUUUAUGUGACCACAGGUAGCAAACAGAUAAGAAACUAUCCGACUGAGGAGCAGCAAGGGUCUGGAGCUACUGCGAUUGGGUGACCUGGGUAGAGACCCUCCUGGAGAUUUCACUCUGACUAGAACUGGAAGGACAAACCCACCGCAGGUAUAGACUCUUGCAUACAAACUGUGUCUUUUUCCUGAGUCCCAUCUUACAACAAAAGACAUACCCAUCAAAUCAGAUUUGCAAUCGAGUUGUUUGUGUCAAAAGAGAAAUGUUGUAAUUAACCUUGAGACUUUUUUCAAGCAGCAGGUUUGCCUUAUAAAUGAAAAAUAAUGAAUAAGCCAAACUGUACCCAGGGGUAUGACAGAGUUUUAACUGGCUUCAUGUAUAGCCAGUGUGGCUGGGAGAAAUGUGAUCUCCAUUUCAUUUCAGAUCUUUCUCUGAACCUUCCAUAUGCAUGCAUGAUGGAAUGGGUUCCCAAAUCCAGCUUGAAAUGUAGUGCAUGACAUACUACCCACGCAAAUAAAAUGAAUAGUUCAAAAUUAUGGGGCACUGACAGAAAAAGCAGACCUUUUAAUAUCUAGUUUCAUUGAGUAAUGCAUUUAAAAUAAUUUGCAAACUGGAAAGGUAAUUAAAAGGGUCCUUUUACUCCCCUAUGCCACAUGUCACAGUCUUUAAUGUUUAAUGAGAGUUGCUCUUUGAGUCUAGGAUUUAGUGAAAGACAUUUGGCUUGGACAAGAACUAAGACAAAUGCUGCUAACAUGAUUCUAUUCAAUUUAGUGCUUUAAAUACUUUCAGGAAUGGUGGAUUAUUUUCAAAGUAAGGUUUGUGGAAGCUGGGAAUUUUGAAGUAUUUUACCUGGAAAUUAUCUAUCGGAAUGCUUCUGUAUG
rnacentral:lncRNA from 1 species